GAUACACACCAGGGACCUGGCUGGGGCUCCUGCCAGGCCUGCGAGGGACCUUGAAGCCUCAGAAGUCAGGACACGGCCAUGAAAAUGGGCCCUGGCCAGGUCCCUGCAAUGCGAGGGUCGCUCCGAUGCUCCUCCCCAGGCUUCCCACUCCAGGGGUCCCUUCGGACAAAGAGGGUGGCUGGGGCCUGAAAUCCCAGCCCCCUUCCGCAGUGCAGAAUGGCAAGUUACCAGGGCACCAGCCUCCAAAUGGCUAUGGACCGGGAGCAGAACCAGGUUUUAAUGGUGGCCUCGAGCCACAGAAAAUUGGUUUAGGUUAUGGGAAUGGUGUCCUGGGAGCCAGGGUCUUCCCCGAGGCCCACCCACAGCCAGGUGCCUGGGGAGCAGGGGUCGGGGUGGGAGAGUUGGGCUCAGGGCCCCAGCCCAGCCUCUGACACCCUCUUUCCUCCUCCAGGGUUCCAUGGGGCCAAUGGUUUUAGGAAUAGUGAGUCAGACCCAGGGGACAAAGUGCAGUGGAGUGGGGGAGACAACAGCCCAGGGGCUAGGCGGGAAUGACCAGAGUCUCUUGGAGGGGAUGGGGUGGAAGCUCUGGUGUACCCCAAAGCAGCAGCUCUAGCCCCUGAAGGAAAUGGGCAGGCCGGGGUGCUGUGGAACUCUCGCUGGCCCACCCUCCAGGCCUGGGGGGCCGGCUUGAAGCCUGGAUAUCAGGCUGGAGAUGAAUAUGCUGAGGCCAGGAGCCAGCCAGGGGGCCCCGACGUGAAGAGAGGCAGCAAUGGCCAGCUGGGGAAUGGCUACGGAGGCCGCUGCCCUCUGGGGAAAUGCUGAGCACUGCAAUGCCCCUCGCCUGCCCAGCAAGGAAGACAGACCCUUGGGCUUGGCCUCUGGUGCUGCCUGGCCGGGGGUCUCCUCCAUGCUAGAACCACAAACGUGCUUCCCUGCUUGCCUCCGCGUGCCAUGCAAGGGGCUUGCUGACCAGGGUGGGAGUGGCAUGGGCCUGCAGCCACCACCCAGCACCUCAUUCAUUCAUUUGGCAAACAUCAAUGAGGCCAUGUGCCAGGGACCAUGUUCCCAACAGGAGAAAUCAUGAGAAGAAAACAGACUCGAUCAACGCCUGCCCUCAGGGAGGGCAUCACUUGGUGACCGCCUAGCGGGGGAACCACAUCCAAGUUAGGGGCCUUGUGCAUGGAAAAGAACACUUCAUUCUUUGUGUUUUCAUUUAUAAUCGAUUUAUUAAAGUUGUUAGAUAAAAAUCUCAUUUUCCUUAAGCUUUUAUAGUGGCCUUCCAGAUAUUGUAUUGACUAAUAAUUUGGAUGUAAAACUCACUUUCACAAUCUUUGAUGAAUGCUUAAUUAGUUUAUAAAUUUCACAGCUCGGCCAGGCAUGGUGGGUCACGCCUGUAAUCCCAGUAUUUUGGGAGGCCAAGGCAGGAGGAUUGCUUGAGCCUACAAUUUAAAGACCAGCCUGGGCAAUAUAGUGAGACCCCCAUCUCUAUAAAAAAUAAAUAAGUAAAUAAAAACAAAUACGAAUUUCACAACUCGACUUUUCCCUAAAUAUUUUGCGUGCCUUAAAUGCCUGAUUAACGAAAUAGCCUUAGACAUCUCAAACAACAAUUAGAAACAUAAUCGACUUGACUCUCUUGAUUCUCUCUCUCUUUUUUUUUUUUUUGAGACGGAGUCUCGCUCUGUCGCCCAGGCUAGAGUGCAGUGGCGCAAUCUCGGCUCACUGCAAGCUCCCCCUCCCGGGUUCAUGCCAUUCUCCUUCCUCAGCCUCCCAAGUAGCUGGGACUACAGGCGCCUGCCCAGCUAAGUUUUUGUACUUUUAGUAGAGUCGGGGUUUCACCAUGUUAGCCAGGAUGGUCUGGAUCUCCUCCUGACCUCGUGAUCCGCCCGCCUCGGCCUCCCAAAGUGCUGUGAUUACAGGCGUGAGCCACCGCACCCGGCGACUCCCAUCUCCACAAAUAAAAAACUUAGCCUGGCAGGGUGGCGCAUGCCUGUAGUCUCAGCUACUUGGGAGGCUGAGGUGAGAGGAUUACUUGAGCCGAGGAGAUCGAGGCUGCAGUGAGCCAUGAUGGCACUACUGCACUCCAGCAUGGGCGAAAGAGCAAGAUCCUGUCUCAAAAAAAAAAAAAAAAAGUUUCUAUAUUCCAAUUUUGAAUAGAUUGACCAUUUUAUCCUUUUUGUUCUGAGCUACCAGAUUCGCACCCAUCUGUCAUUUACAAUUGUUCUUAGGAACUUUAACACAAAUGCUAAGUAUAUUAUCACCAAACUUUACUUUUGAAUUGUGAUAUCGUUUUAUCUUUCUUAUAAGAUAACUGAAUGGAAAUCUGUGCACCUUGACCCAUCCACACAGGAUCCUCAUACCUGAGUUGCAAUGGGUAAACAGCAACGAGAGGACAAUCUCACACUCCACAUCGGUGGCGUCGGGGGGCGGGCGCGGUGGGUCAUGCCUGGAAUCCCAGCACUUUGGAAGACUGAGGCCGGCGGAUCGCUUGAGCCCAGGAGUUCGAGACCAGCCUGGGCAACAUGGUGAGACUCCAUCUCUACACAAAAUAUAAUAAUUAGGCCGGGCGCGGUGGCUCACGCCUGUAAUCCCAGCACUUUGGCACGCCGAGGCGGGUGCAUCAUGAGGUCAUGAGUUCGAGACCAGCCUGGCCAACAUGGCGAAACCCCGUCUCUACUAAAAACACAAAAAUUAGCCGGGCAUGGUGGCGGGCGCCCGUAAUCCCAUCUGCUCAGGAGGC
rnacentral:lncRNA from 1 species